GACGAACGCUGGCGGCGUGCUUAACACAUGCAAGUCGAACGGAAAGGCCCUGCUUUUGUGGGGUGCUCGAGUGGCGAACGGGUGAGUAACACGUGAGUAACCUGCCCUUGACUUUGGGAUAACUUCAGGAAACUGGGGCUAAUACCGGAUAGGAGCUCCUGCUGCAUGGUGGGGGUUGGAAAGUUUCGGCGGUUGGGGAUGGACUCGCGGCUUAUCAGCUUGUUGGUGGGGUAGUGGCUUACCAAGGCUUUGACGGGUAGCCGGCCUGAGAGGGUGACCGGCCACAUUGCGCCUGAGAUACGGCCCAGACUCCUACGGGAGGCAGAAGUGGGGAGUAUUGCACAAUGGGCGGAAGCCUGAUGCAGCAACGCCGCGUGCGGGAUGACGGCCUUCGGGUUGUAAACCGCUUUCGCCUGUGACGAAGCGUGAGUGACGGUAAUGGGUAAAGAAGCACCGGCUAACUACGUG
rnacentral:rRNA from 1 species